rnacentral:rRNA from 1 species
GGAUGCGAUCAUACCAGCACUAAAGCACCGGAUCCCAUCAGAACUCCGAAGUUAAGCGUGCUUGGGCGAGAGUAUUACUAGGAUGGGUGACCUCCUCGGAAGUCCUCGUGUUGCAUUCC